UCCCAGGCGUCGAGUGGCGGACGGGUGAGUAACACGUAGGAACCUGCCCUGUAGCGGGGGAUAGCCCGGGGAAACCCGGAUUAAUACCGCAUAAGCCCUACGGGGGAAAGGUGGCCUCUUCUUGAAAGCUACCGCUAUUGGAGGAGCCUGCGUCGGAUUAGCUAGUUGGUGGGGUAAAGGCCUACCAAGGCGACGAUCCGUAGCUGGUCUGAGAGGACGAUCAGCCACACUGGGACUGAGACACGGCCCAGACUCCUACGGGAGGCAGCAGUGGGGAAUAUUGGACAAUGGGCGCAAGCCUGAUCCAGCCAUGCCGCGUGUGUGAAGAAGGCUUUCGGGUUGUAAAGCACUUUCAGGAGUGAAGAAAAGCGCAGGGUGAAUAAUCCGGCGUCUUGACGUUAGCUCCAGAAGAAGCACCGGCUAACUCCGUGCCAGCAGCCGCGGUAAUACGGAGGGUGCGAACGUUAAUCGGAAUUACUGGGCGUAAAGCGCGCGUAGGCGGUUUGUUAAGUCAGAUGUGAAAGCCCCGGGCUCAACCCGGGAAUUGCAUUUGAAACUGGCAGGCUAGAGUGCAGUA
rnacentral:rRNA from 1 species